AAGAGCCUCCGCGCACGUCUGAGGCCAACGUCGCGACCGUCAGGAAGAGCUGGGAGGCGGCACCCUGUGUUAUCACAGGGACCAGGAGGACACGGCGGGGGACAGCGCGGCGCGGCCGCUGCUCGGUUGGCUUUCCGACUGUCGCGUGAACAGGACGCUAACUCCCGGACCACGGAGGGGCCCACGCCUCGGCUUCCCGAGUGGGAGAGGCCCGGGAAAGGCGGCGGGGCCGGGAGAGGUCAGGAGCUCCUGGAAAGAUGAGGCCAUGCUGGGGUCAGUGCCUGGAGAGCUGUGGCAGGUGACGCAAACGAGUGACAACCUGGGGAACAUCCUCGCAUAGAAUCACGUGAUUUCCACAUUACGUGUGCAAGAACCAGCCUCGCUUCCAAAAGCUCUGGCUGCACUGGACCACCAUGAGAGCUGAGAAGUAGCCGCCCCCUUGGAGGAGGUUUGUCCUUUCCAGUUGGGCACAGUCUCCACCACUCCCUAUUGUACGUCACCUCACCUGCUUUACUCAGCAGGGGCACCGUCCUCCGUAAGGGAAGCUAGCAGUUAGCUACUGCUGUGUAACAAACAACCACAAAUUGCGGAGUCAGAGAAGACGACAUAAAGGUUCUCGCAUCACAGAGAGUCCUGGGCUCGUGCCUUUCCUAGCAUGGUCCUUGUUACGAUCCUACCAGCUGGCUGGACAAACAGACCAGGCGGAACAGCCACCAGGAAAGUGAGCUGCGUGUGGGAGAGCAGCUGAGCGGUCAGGGAAGGAGAAGUGCUCAUCCUGUGCCCACCUGGGAGGAGGACAGCGCACCCCACCAAACCUGAGGUCAUGAGCCCCACGGAGAACCCAGCCCCUGCAGCAGCACCGGCCGGGCUGGACAGGCACCCUGACAUCAGCACACCAGGGGAAGGGGAUCAGGACGCAGUCACACACAGAGGGACAACUGUGUGAGGACACGGGGAGGAGACGGCCGGCCACAUGCCAAGGAGAGGCCUCAAGAGAACCAGGCUGCCGUCACCCUGAUGUCGGACUUCCCGCCUCCAGGACCAAGAGAAAUAAAGAAGCCAGAAGAGAAAAGCUCCCUGGAGGACGCGUGGGUCUCCCUCUGGGUCCGGCCGCUCCUUCUUCACGUCGUUGCUCCCUGUGGGCAUCUGAGUCUGCAAACUCCGAUUUCAACUUUCAGGGGUUCCACUGCAGCGUCAUCUCGAAAGGACCAGCACAUUUUAUCUUCGCUUACUGGGCUACCUGAUUCUCUGGGUCAACUGAUGCUGGUUUCCCCGCUGGGACCAUCUCUGUACCUGGUGAGACGCAUACAGUUUUGAAAUUCCUGAUCGGGGUUUUCCAACACCCUAUGGGAGGGUCUCUCGACGCUUCUCUCCCACCCCAGCCCAGGAGCACGGUCUCCUCUGCUCUCAUGGUAGAGUCUCAAUUCUCUUUUCAUGUGAGCAAACAACAAGGACGUGGGACUUUUCGCUGUGGCCGGAAAUGUCCCGUCCAGUCCCAGGGCCAUCAGUGCUCCGUCUGGUUGGGCUUCAAGCCACUCUUUCUACAAACUUUUGGAGAAAUUCCUAAUGCUGUAACCGACUGCCGCCUUGUCCUUAAAGGGGCUCAAGGAAAACACAGCCUGAGCAGAAGGAAGAUAAAGCAAGAGAAACCCCAUCUUGGGGACCUUCGGACGAACAUGAUGACUCAGCGGAUGUGAAGACGCGGGCAGAGCCCAGUGAAGUGCCAGGCACAUGGGUCCCGAGGUCUCUGCUCCUCUGGUGAAGUCGACAGCGAUGAUGAUGCGGUGGCAAUGCUGGCCCGCCUCCCACCCAUCGCCACUCUGAUUCGAGUCCCGAGCAGCCAUUCCAGGGUCUUCUCCAGAUUCACGCUCUAAGCCAGCUUCUUGUUGGCCGUUACCACACUAUGUAAUCUCAGAGUCGACGGAAUUGGGACCUGUGACUUUCUGCUCCCCGGGCCUGGCCCUCCCACCCAGGGACCAUUGAGGCGACCCUUUGAAAACAGAAGACAUGAGGUCAUCUAGCUCUGCUCUGAACCUCCAGAGGCUGUCACUCCCUCAGAGAAAAAUGAAGGUUCUUCCCGCGUCUAAUAAAAGCUAGAGCGUGUGGCUCCCUCCUCCCCUUGCUCCAGCCCUCUCCAACAGCCCCGGGCCCCAUGCGGCUCCCCCCACACGCCAGGUGCACAGGAGUGUGCUCAUCCAAGGCCUUCCCACCCGCAGCUCCCUCACCUGCUGCACUUUCCUCUCAAACGCCCUGCUCCCUCACCCCGCAGGUCUCUGCUCCUGGCACCUCCUCAGAGUGGAUGUUCUGACCACACCAAGCCCACCUCUCUCCACCCCUCAGCUGCCUGUGUGUCUUCAGGGUGCCCCCAUCACAGCCACGGGCUGCUGAUCUCUUUGUACUUGUGCUUGGUCCCUAAGGCAGCGACGGGGUCGCACUCUCGGCUGUCUUCCGAACACCUAGAGCCCUUUCGGCUGGCUGGCCGGGAGUGGGUGCUGGAAACAUUUCUUGACAGAGUGAAUUCCUCAGAGUGAAUACAUUUAAAUAGAGAGAGCAGGAUGAUCCUCAGGUAAGUCCUGAGGGCAUGGAAAUACUUACUCUCUGCAGCUGCGGACUCUCUCUGGCUCAGAACAGCCCCUGGUGGGAAUAAUGAUGAAUGCGGAGCUUCAGCUGCUGGGCUCACCGCCCAAUAUAUUUAUUAUAUGAUGUGUUAUAUAGUUGAUAAUAGUGUUUUAAUAUACCUAUAAG
rnacentral:lncRNA from 1 species